rnacentral:rRNA from 1 species
AGCAGCCGCGGUAAUUCCAGCUCCAAUAGCGUAUAUUAAAGUUGCUGCAGUUAAAAAGCUCGUAGUUGAAUUUCGGGAUCAAUAUGUUGGUCGUGCCUCGGUACGUACUAGCUUAUUGGUUUCUCCCUUCUGACGAACCAUGAUGUCAUUUAUUUGGUGUUAUGGGGAAUCAGGACUGUUACUUUGAAAAAAUUAGAGUGUUUAAAGCAGGCUCACGCUUGAAUACAUUAGCAUGGAAUAAUGAAAUAGGACGUUUGAUUCUAUUUUGUUGGUUUCUAGGAUCGACGUAAUGAUUAAUAGGGAUAGUUGGGGGCAUUAGUAUUCAAUUGUCAGAGGUGAAAUUCUUGGAUUUAUUGAAAACUAACUACUGCGAAAGCAUUUGCCAAGGAUGUUUUCAUUAAUCAAGAACGAAAGUUAGGGGAUCGAAGACGAUCAGAUACCGUCGUAGUCUUAACCAUAAACUAUGCCGACUAGGGAUCGGAUGAUGUUAAUUUUUUAAUGACUCAUUCGGCGCCUUACG